GCUGGAGGUACAGCUCAGUGGUAGAGCACCUGCCUAACAUGCAUAAGGCCCUGGGUUCCAUCCCCAGCACCAGCA
rnacentral:tRNA from 1 species